rnacentral:rRNA from 1 species
CACGAAGUUAGCCGGGGCUUCUUUUCCGGUUACCGUCAUUAUCUUCACCGGCGAAAGAGCUUUACAACCCUAAGGCCUUCAUCACUCACGCGGCAUGGCUGGAUCAGGCUUGCGCCCAUUGUCCAAUAUUCCCCACUGCUGCCUCCCGUAGGAGUCUGGGCCGUGUCUCAGUCCCAGUGUGGCUGAUCAUCCUCUCAGACCAGCUAUAGAUCGUCGCCUUGGUAAGCCUUUACCUUACCAACUAGCUAAUCUAAUAUGGGCUCAUCUAUUACCGAUAAAUCUUUAUCCUCUCGGAACUAUACGGUAUUAGCACAAAUUUCUCUGUGUUAUUCCGUAGUAAUAGGUAGAUCCCCAUACAUUACUCACCCGUCUGCCGCUCACCAUAAAUGGUGCGCUCGACUUGCAUGUGUUAAGCCUGCCGCCAGCGUUCGUUCUGAGCCAGGAUCAAACUCU